GACGUACGCUGGCGGCGUGCUUAACACAUGCAAGUCGAACGGAAAUCAGGGAGCUUGCUCCCUGUGAUUAGUGGCGAACGGGUGAGUAACACGUGAGCAACCUGCCCCUAACUUUGGGAUAACUUCGGGAAACCGGGGCUAAUACCAAAUACGACCCAUGAGGGCAUCCUCUGUGGGUGGAAAGAAUUUCGGUUGGGGAUGGGCUCGCGGCCUAUCAGCUUGUUGGUGGGGUAACGGCCUACCAAGGCAUCGACGGGUAGCCGGCCUGAGAGGGUGAUCGGCCACACUGGGACUGAGACACGGCCCAGACUCCUACGGGAGGCAGCAGUGGGGAAUAUUGCACAAUGGGCGCAAGCCUGAUGCAGCAACGCCGCGUGGGGGAAGAAGGCCUUCGGGUUGUAAACCUCUUUUGGCAGGGAAGAAGCGAAAGUGACGGUACCCGCAGAAAAAGCGCCGGCUAACUACGUGCCAGCAGCCGCGGUAAUACGUAGGGCGCGAGCGUUGUCCGGAAUUAUUGGGCGUAAAGAGCUCGUAGGCGGUUUGUCACGUCUGCCGUGAAAAUCCGAGGCUCAACCUCGGACCUGCGGUGGGUACGGGCAGGCUAGAGUGCGAUAGGGGAGAGCGGAAUUCCU
rnacentral:rRNA from 1 species